CUGAACUCGAGUAGGGCCCAAGCAAGCCAGGAAGGAGGAGGCAGCCAGAGUGUUCUCUGCAGCAGAAGACUCCUUGCUGCCCUGCUUAACCCAGACCAGCAUUUUCCAGAAAUCUGUAAAAGUGAUGUUUUUAUGAAGGUGCGGGUCACUGAGGAAGACAUACAUCGAAACACAUCAGAUGUGUUGGAAAUGAACCACUGAAAAGGCCUCUUACAUUUUGAAAAGACUUCUCAUUGUUUGGUGGAAAGGCAUUCGGUCUUCAUAAGGAUUUUGGCUCAUGGCACUAAGCUGAAGUUGUGACUUGUAUGCAGUAGGAUCCUAACUGAACUGGAAUCUGAACCCAUCUCUCCUGUUUCCAAGGUGAAACCCCAUCUGCUGGGACAGCUUUGCUAUGUUCUCUAUAAAACAAUAUGCUUGGCUCUUUGCAGAGCCAUUAUUGCUUCAGGGCCCCUAAUCAAUAAGUAGUGCUGCUAUUCU